AACGAACGCUGGCGGCAGGCCUAACACAUGCAAGUCGAGCGAACACUUCGGUUCUAGCGGCGGACGGGUGAGUAACGCGUGGGAAUGUGCCCUUCUCUACGGAAUAGCUCUGGGAAACUGGUAAUAAUACCGAAUACGCCCUAUUGGGGAAGGAUUUAUCGCAGCAGGAGCAGCCCGCGUUGGAUUAGGUGGUUGGUUGGGUAAUGGCCUAACAAGCCGACGAUUCAUAGCUGGUUUGAGAGGAUGAUCAGCCACACUGGGACUGAGACACGGCCCAGACUCCUACGGGAGGCAGCAGUGGGGAAUCUUGCACAAUGGGGGGAAUCCUGAAGUAGCCAUGCCGCGUGAAUGAUGAAGGUCUUAGGGUUGUAAAGUUCUUUCAGCUGGGAAGAUAAUGACGGUACCAGGAGAAGAAGCCCCGGCUAACUCCGUG
rnacentral:rRNA from 1 species